GGUUCCGUAGCUCAACUGGAUAGAGCAGCUGCCUUCUAAGCAGCAGGUUUUGCGUUCGAGUCGCAACGGAAUCA
rnacentral:tRNA from 1 species